UUACACAUGCAAGUCGAACGGACCCUUUGGGGUUAGUGGCGAACGGGUGAGUAACACGUGGGUGAUCUGCCCUGCACUUUGGGAUAAGCCUGGGAAACUGGGUCUAAUACCGGAUAGGACUACGCACUGCAUGGUGUGUGGUGGAAAGCUUUUGCGGUGUGGGAUGGGCCCGCGGCCUAUCAGCUUGUUGGUGGGGUGAUGGCCUACCAAGGCGACGACGGGUAGCCGGCCUGAGAGGGUGACCGGCCACACUGGGACUGAGAUACGGCCCAGACUCCUACGGGAGGCAGCAGUGGGGAAUAUUGCACAAUGGGCGCAAGCCUGAUGCAGCGACGCCGCGUGAGGGAUGACGGCCUUCGGGUUGUAAACCUCUUUCGCCAGGGACGAAGCGCAAGUGACGGUACCUGGAGAAGAAGGACCGGCCAACUACGUGCCAGCAGCCGCGGUAAUACGUAGGGUCCGAGCGUUGUCCGGAAUUACUGGGCGUAAAGAGCUCGUAGGUGGUUUGUCGCGUUGUUCGUGAAAACUCACAGCUUAACUGUGGGCGUGCGGGCGAUACGGGCAGACUGGAGUACUGCAGGGGAGACUGGAAUUCCUGGUGUAGCGGUGGAAUGCGCAGAUAUCAGGAGGAACACCGGUGGCGAAGGCGGGUCUCUGGGCAGUAACUGACGCUGAGGAGCGAAAGCGUGGGGAGCGAACAGGAUUAGAUACCCUGGUAGUCCACGCCGUAAACGGUGGGUACUAGGUGUGGGUUUCCUUCCUUGGGAUCCGUGCCGUAGCUAACGCAUUAAGUACCCCGCCUGGGGAGUACGGCCGCAAGGCUAAAACUCAAAGGAAUUGACGGGGGCCCGCACAAGCGGCGGAGCAUGUGGAUUAAUUCGAUGCAACGCGAAGAACCUUACCUGGGUUUGACAUGCACAGGACGCCGGCAGAGAUGUCGGUUCCCUUGUGGCCUGUGUGCAGGUGGUGCAUGGCUGUCGUCAGCUCGUGUCGUGAGAUGUUGGGUUAAGUCCCGCAACGAGCGCAACCCUUGUCUCAUGUUGCCAGCACGUUAUGGUGGGGACUCGUGAGAGACUGCCGGGGUCAACUCGGAGGAAGGUGGGGAUGACGUCAAGUCAUCAUGCCCCUUAUGUCCAGGGCUUCACACAUGCUACAAUGGCCGGUACAAAGGGCUGCGAUGCCGUGAGGUGGAGCGAAUCCUUUCAAAGCCGGUCUCAGUUCGGAUCGGGGUCUGCAACUCGACCCCGUGAAGUCGGAGUCGCUAGUAAUCGCAGAUCAGCAACGCUGCGGUGAAUACGUUCCCGGGCCUUGUACACACCGCCCGUCACGUCAUGAAAGUCGGUAACACCCGAAGCCGGUGGCCUAACCCUUGUGGAGGGAGCCGUCGAAGGUGA
rnacentral:rRNA from 1 species